rnacentral:rRNA from 1 species
AGCUCUGUAAGCGUAUACCAAAGUUGUUGCAGUUAAAACGCUCGUAGUCGGACGUUGGUUGGCGUCUCAAGUCGGCCGAAAGGCUGGUCUUGUGGGCGGCCGCCUUUGUGGAUGGGGGCUUCGUGGUGCUUUAUUGUCAUCAUGUGAGUCGCUGCCACCGUUUACUGUGAAAAAAUUAGAGUGUUCAAAGCGGGCGUUUGCCAUGAAUACAUUAGCAUGGAAUAAUAGAAUAGGACCUGGUCCUGUUUUGUUGGUUUGUGAGUAUCAGGUAAUGAUUAAGAGGGACGGUUGGGGGCAUUUGUAUUCCGACGUUAGAGGUGAAAUUCUUGGAUCGUCGGAAGACAAACAGCUGCGAAAGCGUCUGCCAAGGACGUUUUCA